GCUAAUAACAUCAGCAAGAUCCAGGGAAAUAUGGCACCUGGUUUCAAAACAAAUUUUCAGCCUACUUUUUCCAUUCUCAGCUACAAAAAAAAAUUUCUACCUCUUCAGUCCUCUCAUGACUGACAAGAUGUCCCCCAUGAAGUUCUACCAUUCGGGCAGAAGGAUACAAUUUCUCAGCAAUCCUCUUUGCAUGGCAUAAUUGAGCAAUGACAUCAUGUCUGAACCAUCAAAAGACUACUCAGUUUUGCUAAGUAGAGAUCUUUCAGGUAACAAUCAUGCACCAUGAACAACACACUGGUUGAUAAUCACGCAAUCGUUUACAGCAAGUCAACAAAAGCCAUUGGUUGGUCGCAAAGCCUGCCAACUUGCUGAAGUUGUAUCUUAAAUGCACUGCAAUACAUCUUAAG